AGUUAAAUUUUUUUUAUUUAUUUUUACAAUUAAAAAUUGUCAUGAUUGAUAGAGUAAUCAGACAAUUACACCAUGAGUGCCACAUAUACCUCGUGUCGAUAUGCAAAGAUCAAAUUUUAACAAUAUAAAUGAAUAAAAUUUUUAACA
rnacentral:pre_miRNA from 1 species